CGUAAAGACGCAUGCAGGUGGUUUGUUUAAGUCAGAUGUGAAAGACCCGGGGCGUCAACCUCGGAAUAGCAUUUGUAAACUAGGCAGACUAGAGUACUGUAGAGGGGGGUAGGAAGUUUCAGGUGUAGCGGUGAAAUGCGUAGAGAUCUGAAGGAAUACCGGUGGCGAAGGCGGCCCCCUCGGACAGAUACUGACACUCAGAUGCGAAAGCGUGGGGAGCAAACAGGAUUAGAUACCCUGGUAG
rnacentral:rRNA from 1 species